rnacentral:rRNA from 1 species
CAAUAGCGUAUAUUAAAGUUGUUGCAGUUAGAACGCUCGUAGUCGGAUUUCGGGGCGGGCCGACCGGUCUGCCGAUGGGUAUGCACUGGUCGGCGCGUCCUUCCUUCCGGAGACCGUCCCUACUCUUAACUGAGCGGGGGCGGGAGACGGGACUUUUACUUUGAAAAAAUCAGAGUGUUUCGAGCAGGCAGCUCGCUCUUGCAUGGAUUAGCAUGGGAUAAUGAAAUAGGACUUUGGUGCUAUUUUGUUGGUUUCGAACACCGAAGUAAUGAUGAGAAGGGACAGUCAGGGGCACUCGUAUUCCGCCGAGAGAGGUGAAAUUCUCAGACCAGCGGAAGACGAACCACUGCGAAAGCAUUUGCCAGGGAUGUUUUCACUGA